rnacentral:rRNA from 1 species
UACGAGGGGGGCGAGCGUUGUUCGGAAUUAUUGGGCGUAAAGGGUGCGUAGGCGGUUUGGUAAGUCUURUGUGAAAUCUACAGGGCUCAACUCUGUAGWCUGCAYGAGAAACUGCCGGGCUUGAGURUGGGAGAGGUGAGUGGAAUUYCCGGUGUAGCGGUGAAAUGCGUAGAUAUCGGRAGGAACACCUGUGGCGAAAGCGGCUCACUGGACCAYAACUGACGCUGAUGCACGAAAGCUAGGGGAGCAAACAGGAUUAGAUACCCUGGUAGUCCUAGCCCUAAACGAUGACUGCUUGGUGUGACGGGUACCCAAUCCCGCCGUGCCGUAGCUAACGCGUUAAGCRGUCCGCCUGGGGAGUACGGUCGCAAGGCUGAAACUCAAAG